CGUGCCUACACUGGAGGGGGUGGUGUUUAAGAAAUCACUAUAUGGGGUAUGUAGCCCUUUAAACAACACUCUAAUAAAGAUUUUUAAUUGCAAUACAACAACGCUGAUUAUUUUUCCAAGCAGUAAGAUUAAAUAACAGUGUGUCUUAUUUCAUUGUCAUGAAGUCUACCUACUCAUUUAUAUAUAUUUUUUUUUCAUUCUGUGCUGUCUCUACACUUUACUUGGUUAUCAGUCUUGUUUUUUGUUUUCUUUUUUCAUGGGAGUGUUGGCAUCUAACAUCCACAUUCCAUAUGAACUAUGUGACCAACCAAAUGUUCUCCGUUGCAGGUUUGCAGAAUGACAGGUGUUACAGAGUUUUCAAACGGCAUGCCAGUGAGUUAUUCCCCACACCAAACUUGGCAGCAACAUCAAGACAGCCUCUGAGCUGUGACUUCAGCAACAAGAGCACACAAAAUGCAUCAAAGCGAAGCUUUUAACAGCACUAGAUUAGCAGGCAUUUGGUUCUUCAGUGGUUUUAGCAGCAUGUCAGAGAGGAGGAGAUGCUCUGGGACCAUGAGUUGAGGAGACAAUGUCAUUCUUCCUUUGAUAGAUGGAUCUUUUGGUUAGUAAAGCAUUUCUGUGUAAAAGCUUAUGUGAUUAUGUGACCUGGCCUUGUCUCCCCCCGGGUUUUUAUGGAGUUCAACAGAAUUACGGGCAAAAAUCUAAAGUAGGAAUUCUAUGAAAACCUGGACAGACACAGUUCACUGGUUUAUGGACCUUUUUAAAACCAGAAGGGGGACUCCUGGUGAGCACUUGUUGAAGUUUUUACAGCAAAUAGAGUCAGACCAGCCAACUGAGGUGCGAACCCUGGUUCUUCGAGGACAGCCUAUUAUGCUGGUAGAUGAAGACUCUUCUUUCUUCAAGUCAUGUUUAGGUGGGAGGGUGAUGCAGUGUGGAGAAAACCAUCUCAGCUGCGGACAGGCCCUCCUCAGCAACAAAAGGCAGACGUUUUCUCCUGCCGCUUGCGACUGGGACAUGUGGCACACUGACAUUCCCAGCACCCACACUGGCAGGGGAAUGUGCCAAUUAGUGGCCAUCUCAGGGAGGGGGCGUGGGGGGUUGGUGGGGAGAUGGUCGGGCUGGGGGAGGGGUGAUGAGCCGUGGAUGGAGGUGGGUAGGGGUGGAGUAGUGGCAUUGACACCAGACCUCAGGAAUGCCUUUCACUCAGAUGUAGGGUGUAAUUAGCCGGCUGUCCCUCCCCUCCCAGCCUGCUUCGGCGGAAGUCACAGCCCACGGCCCUGUGCUGUAGGUGGGCAAGGCCAUGACCUGCAGUGGCCCCACCCAAGAGACAGAUGGAGGCGUUUGUGCGGUGAGCAUGUGCUCAAUUAUUAUGUGUGCGAAACUUAUACUCACCCACACAAGCCUCUGCUGUCAUUAUCCAAUACCCACUUCAGGUCUCACACACACACCCAUAGUCGCUCUCCCUAUGGUCAGUGGCGGACUGGCCAUCUGGAGCACCGGGAGUUUUCCCGGUGGGCCACUGUAAAAUGUGGGCCGGCCCAUUGCG
ensembl:lncRNA